rnacentral:lncRNA from 1 species
UUGCAAUGUGUUUUUAUUUUAAAAUUGAAGUUUAUAACAGAGUUAAUAGAGAAUAUGAAAUUAAAAUGAGUGUUUAUACUUGUUUCUAAGUCAUAGUAAAUAAAUAUGCAUGUACACAUGCAUGGCUAUAAAUUUUCAUAUGAACUAUCAAGUACAUAACCACAGUCUUUGUCUAUGAUACACACACACACACAGACAUAUAUAUAUGUCUAUAAUUACACAUAUGUUUAAUAAUUUACCCAAUGUUUAUUUAAGUAAUAAAUUAGUAUAAUGUAAACUUUAGCAUAAC